rnacentral:rRNA from 1 species
UACGUAGGGUGCGAGCGUUAAUCGGAAUUACUGGGCGUAAAGCGUGCGCAGGCGGUUGUGCAAGACAGAUGUGAAAUCCCCGGGCUUAACCUGGGAACUGCAUUUGUGACUGCACGGCUAGAGUACGGCAGAGGGGGAUGGAAUUCCGCGUGUAGCAGUGGAAUGCGUAGAUAUGCGGAGGAACACCGAUGGCGAAGGCAGUCCCCUGGGCCUGUACUGACGCUCAUGCACGAAAGCGUGGGGAGCAAACAGG